UACAGAGGGGGCAAGCGUUGUUCGGAAUUACUGGGCGUAAAGGGCGCGUAGGCGGCCUGUUAAGUCGAACGUGAAAUCCCCGGGCUCAACCCGGAACUGCGUCCGAUACUGGCAGGCUUGAAUUCGGGAGAGGGAUGCGGAAUUCCAGGUGUAGCGGUGAAAUGCGCAGAUAUCGGGAAGAACACCUAUGGCGAAGGCAGCUCUCUGGGACGGUACUGACGCUGAGACGCGAAAGCGUGGGGAGCGAACAGG
rnacentral:rRNA from 1 species